rnacentral:rRNA from 1 species
GAUGAACGCUGGCGGCGUGCCUAAUACAUGCAAGUCGAGCGAACAGACGAGGAGCUUGCUCCUCUGACGUUAGCGGCGGACGGGUGAGUAACACGUGGAUAACCUACCUAUAAGACUGGGAUAAAUUCGGGAAACCGGAGCUAAUACCGGAUAAUAUAUUGAACCGCAUGGUUCAAUAGUGAAAGACGGUUUUGCUGUCACUUAUAGAUGGAUCCGCGCCGCAUUAGCUAGUUGGUAAGGUAACGGCUUACCAAGGCGACGAUGCGUAGCCGACCUGAGAGGGUGAUCGGCCACACUGGAACUGAGACACGGUCCAGACUCCUACGGGAGGCAGCAGUAGGGAAUCUUCCGCAAUGGGCGAAAGCCUGACGGAGCAACGCCGCGUGAGUGAUGAAGGUCUUCGGAUCGUAAAACUCUGUUAUUAGGGAAGAACAAAUGUGUAAGUAACUAUGCACGUCUUGACGGUACCUAAUCAGAAAGCCACGGCUAACUACGCG